AUGAGUGGUGUUUGGUUUGUUACAGGUGUUUGGCUCUUUGCUUKMGCWANNNCUNNCCNCMKGCUUACCUCUUUAUUUGUGUGUUAAGGCUUAUGUCUUAGUGCAUUGUGGGUUUCCUGUGUUGCCUACCUAAGUGACGGUAUUCUUUUGAUUGAACGAAGUCCCUUUUCGUCUUGUGUUACGUCCGUGGCAUGUGACGAACGUUGUGAAGCAGUUUCUAUGGUCCACAUUAACGAUGCCUUUGCAUUGAAGUAGUGGCUCAUUGAUCAUUGCUUGGUCUUGAGGAUACGGAAUCUGAUGUGGGCAUGGGGUCUUGUUUGGAUCCUUUUCUGCCCUUGUUUAGCGUUCAAGCAUCUCCAAAAUGACCGCCCAUCGUGUAGUGGCUCGUACCAGCAUGGUGGGUUAUGUCAAAAAGGAAUGCUACCUGGUUGAUCCUGCCAGUAGUCAUAUGCUUGUCUCA
rnacentral:misc_RNA from 1 species